rnacentral:rRNA from 1 species
AGAGCGAACGCUGGCGGCAGGCCUAACACAUGCAAGUCGAGCGCCCCGCAAGGGGAGCGGCAGACGGGUGAGUAACACGUGGGAACGUACCCUUCGGUUCGGAAUAGCCCGGGGAAACUCGGAGUAAUACCGGAUACGUCCGUAAGGAGAAAGAUUUAUCGCCGAAGGAUCGGCCCGCGUCUGAUUAGCUUGUUGGUGAGGUAACGGCUCACCAAGGCUACGAUCAGUAGCUGGUCUGAGAGGAUGAUCAGCCACACUGGGACUGAGACACGGCCCAGACUCCUACGGGAGGCAGCAGUGGGGAAUAUUGGACAAUGGGCGCAAGCCUGAUCCAGCCAUGCCGCGUGAGUGAUGAAGGCCCUAGGGUUGUAAAGCUCUUUCGGCGGGGAAGAUAAUGACGGUACCCGCAGAAGAAGCCCCGGCAACUUCGUGCCAGCAGCCGC